AGGAGAACCUCAUCCUGACAUGAGCAAAGUCAAAGGCCCGGUUCUUUUAGACCGAAUGGGGGGAGAGGCCUUACAACACCCUAAUGUGCCCCCACAGCCAUGUCAGGAACAGGAGGAGAACCUCAUCGUGACAUGAGCAAAGUCGAAGGCCCGGUUCUUUUAGACCGGAUGGGGGGAGAGGCCUUACAGUGCCCUAACGCGCCCCCACAGCCAGGCUGGUAACGAGGGGAGAACCUCACACCGGCUCGAGCAAAAUGGAAGGCCCGGACUCCUACGGAAGCCAGGUUCCGUUCACGACGCAAAGGAAGACUUCACCCGGACUCCUACGGGAGCCAGGUUCUGCCUACAAGGAAGACUUCACCCGGACUCCUACGGGAGCCGGGUUCCACCCGCAAGGAAGACUUCAUCCGGACUCCUACGGG
rnacentral:lncRNA from 1 species